rnacentral:rRNA from 1 species
CCUACGGGUGGCAGCAGUGGGGAAUAUUGGGCAAUGGGCGCAAGCCUGACCCAGCAACGCCGCGUGAAGGAAGAAGGCUUUCGGGUUGUAAACUUCUUUUAAGAGGGAAGAGCAGAAGACGGUACCCCUUGAAUAAGCCACGGCUAACUACGUGCCAGCCGCCGCGGUAAUACGUAGGUGGCAAGCGUUGUCCGGAUUUACUGGGUGUAAAGGGCGUGUAGCCGGGCUGACAAGUCAGUUGUGAAAUCCCGUGGCUCAACCACGGAACUGCAUUUGAAACUGUCGGUCUUGAGUUUCGGAGAGGCAGGCGGAAUUCCUGGUGUAGCGGUGAAAUGCGUAGAUAUUAGGAGGAACACCAGUGGCGAAGGCGGCCUGCUGGACGACAACUGACGGUGAGGCGCGAAAGCGUGGGGAGCAAACAGGAUUAGAUACCCCGGUAGUC